UUGCUUCUGCAGCAAAUAUACUAAAAUUGGGACGAUACAGAGAAGAUUAGCAUGGCCCCUGUGCAAGGGUGACAUGAAAAUUCAAGAAGCGUUCCAUAUUUAA